GGAUUGAACGCUAGCGGGAUGCUUUAACACAUGCAAGUCGAACGGCAGCGCGGACUUCGGUCUGGCGGCGAGUGGCGAACGGGUGAGUAAUAUAUCGGAACGUGCCCAGUAGCGGGGGAUAACUACGCGAAAGCGUGGCUAAUACCGCAUACGCCCUACGGGGGAAAGGGGGGGAUCGCAAGACCUCUCACUAUUGGAGCGGCCGAUAUCAGAUUAGCUAGUUGGUGAGGUAAAGGCUCACCAAGGCGACGAUCUGUAGCUGGUCUGAGAGGACGACCAGCCACACUGGGACUGAGACACGGCCCAGACUCCUACGGGAGGCAGCAGUGGGGGAAUUUUGGACAAUGGGCGCAAGCCUGAUCCAGCAAUGCCGCGUGCAGGAAGAAGGCCUUCGGGUUGUAAA
rnacentral:rRNA from 1 species